rnacentral:rRNA from 1 species
UCUCAUGGAGUAAUCCAGUAAGAUUCCUUGAAGAAGACAAGGUAGAUAGGUUGGGAGUGGAAGUGCCGUAAGGCAUGUAGCGGACCAAUACUAAUAAAUCGAGGGCUUAACUUA